rnacentral:lncRNA from 1 species
UUUUAAAACUUCAUCUCUUGAGCCAGGCAUGGUGGCACAUGCCUGUAAUCCCAGCAAUCAGAAGGCUGAGGCAGGAGGGUCACUGUGAGUUUGGGGCCAGCCUGUACUACAGAGAGAGUUCAAGGCCAGCCUGCACUGCAUAGUGUAACGCUGUUUCAAAACGACAAAAUAAAAUAAAACUUCACCUUGACUUUUGAGUGUUAUUACGUGAAGUGGCAACGUUCCACCAGCGCUGGGGAGCAGGGAGCACAUAUCGCUUUCUCCUGUCCACAGCCAGCCUUCUGGCCGAGAUCCUGAGUACACUUGGCAAGGCACACACCACUGUAAGACAAAUUCCAUUCCUUCAUUCAGGUAAUGUGUGUUGGAUCGGCUUCGGUAUACUGAGACCCAUAGGAGAUGAAGAAUGAUGAUUCAUGAAGAAUGACAUAGAAGAGUUAAGUCUGGUGUGAAAGCAGGACUACACCAAAAUUCCAAAACAUGUGCUAAUUCCACCAGGGUAACAAGAAAGUCAAGAACAGUCUUGGGCCUGGAAGACUUUGUAAAGAUGAGGAAUUGGUUCUCUGCUGACCUGGAGAACUGGAGACGGAUAGAAAUGCAUUACUGACUAAGGAGACAGAGGCUCAGAAGUCCAUGCGGAGACUGUAAAUCAUACACAU